CGGAACGUGUCCUGUUGUGGGGGAUAACUGAUCGAAAGAUCAGCUAAUACCGCAUGAGACCUGAGGGUGAAAGCGGGGGAUCGCAAGACCUCGCGCGACAGGAGCGGCCGAUGUCUGAUUAGCUAGUUGGUGAGAUAAAAGCUUACCAAGGCGACGAUCAGUAGCUGGUCUGAGAGGAUGAUCAGCCACAUUGGGACUGAGACACGGCCCAGACUCCUACGGGAGGCAGCAUG
rnacentral:rRNA from 1 species